GAGAAUUUUGUUUUUUCCGAGUGUACAGUGAAGUACUCAGAAAUGCCGAAUGGGAAAACUGGUUUACAUGCCCUAAUGUGAGUGUUUUCCACUGACUUUUGAUGGUUAAAUACCUCCCAUAAAAUCAACGGUACACUCCAGUGAUUUUGUUUGAAGGGUUAACACUUUUUGCUGCUGUUUCCCGGUUUUUCUUCCCUUCUUUGUGUCCAUCUUUGAAGAAGAUUGAUCAACGUCGGACUCCAUUCAGGGAUGGCCAGCCCACCGGCAGGAUACCGGAAGCUCAUUCUUAAUGCAGGGAGAUUCGGACCUGCCCUGGAUGGUCUGAGAUCUGUGGAAACCGCCAGCGGGUAGGAAAAACUGUGAUUAGGCUGCACCGCUGCAUAACCUGCAGGGAGGAGAGGGAUUUAAAAUUUGCUCGAAAGGACGUCAGGACCGCUCUGACUUCUAAUCAGGGAUAUUCAACACUCAGCACGCAGCCUGUUGAAUGUGACGUCUAGCCAAUCACAAAGCGAGAGCAAGACGAAUCAUGAGACAAGUGUUGCUGAGAGUUUAGAUGUCGUCCUGCAUUUCUUCUCCCAUCUGUUUCCAACAUGCCGGUGAGACGAGACAAACCAGCCCUGCCAAGACAUGGAGUCACUGAUGUGUUUGAAAAUUCAUUGCCUCGCAACUCAUCAGUAAUGAAGUGUUUGAAACGUAUGGAAAGGAACGGGGCAAAGGAAUGAGAGAGCUUCAGGCUUCGUGGCAAAUCCUUUGCAUGUUUCUAAUGGCUCAAAAAGUCACACCACACUUUAGUCUGGUCAUUAUUAAAGUUAAAACCCCCAAAAGUUUUGUUUUCCAUAGUGACAUCUGGUCUCUGCUCAUUUAGAGAGAGCCAAUGACAGAAUCACAUCUGGACAAGCUCAGAUUAAAAAUGCCCAAAAGCAGAA